UAUGACUUGGAGAGAAAGGUCUAGAUUUCCUUGUCCUUGGCAGAGGCAGGGUCAUAGGAGUACUGGGCUCUGAGUGGAAGCAUAACCAGGUCCUCCCAUCCUGAUGGGUAAGACAAGGAGAUUGACAGAGCCUCUUACCACCUUCCCCAAAUGCCUCGAGAUGUGGAAAGUCUCUGCCUUUGGACAGUGCACAGCCCUGUGUCUGGCUCCAAUAGACAGAAUGGUGGUGCAAAGCGUUUUCUGAGAAGAGUCAGAUGGUCUAAGGUGAAGCCCACAGCAAAGAGCACACCACAAACCACAGUGCAGAAGUUCAGGGACUGGAACUUUGAAGUUGGAAUUUUGGGCAAGAGCACAGCAGAAGUAAGAAAAGGCAGGAAAGACUGCUGCAUACAACCAUGGAGCAUGCCCUGUCUCAGCUUUAUGGUUAUGGGGUCCUUGUGCUUCAUACCUCAUUCCUGUUUGAUUUCCAGUUUUCUUCCUUCUUGCAUGUCCCUACAAGAAUAAGUGGCUCCCAAGGACUCCUAGUUCUAAGGUGUUGGAUUGGGAGGUGAUAGGAAUUACUGAAGAUCUCAGCAGUCAAGGGACAUGAUUGAGAUGUUAGAACCAAGCUUCAAGCACCCUGUUUCUGCAAGCUGAAGUUUAGAGACACUGUUUCCUGAAAAUUUAUUUGAAUAGGAGCACAUAAGAUGUCUCAAGAGUUAAGUCCCUGCAUUGCCACCACCUUUGCCCACCCCACAGAAUGAAAGAGGGAAAUACCCACGGAGGGAGAAAAAAUAAGAAUAGGGAGCAUGUGGG
rnacentral:lncRNA from 1 species